CACUUAGGAUGCAUUCACGUUUAAUUUUCUUGACUUCUUAAAGUCUAAUUAAGUAUUAUUUUAUUUCCUAAAGGCACGUCUUCGCACGUCAUCUAAGGCCAAGUUAAAGAAAUUUACGGAAAGGGAUUUAGCUUUUGAGGUGGGCAUUCUUUCAAAACGUGAUUUCAGUAUGAAAAUGUGAUUCUUUGCUCAAGUAUAUUGUCAUGCCAUGUUUUGUUUUAUGAUUACCUAUCUGCUUGGCUAUGCCAAUUUAAGUUAAAUCGAAUUCGGGUCCCAGUAGGGCCGCAAACCCCACUCGGACUAGUGUACACAUAAGGGGAUCGUGAGCUAACAAAGGAGUUGGCCGGUCCAGUGACCGUCGUGGAAUGUGGCCACAUUCCCGGUUCACACAAAGUUCAGAUAUGGUUGAACGUGGACAAGCAGGCGAAGGUGUUGGGACAAGAAUUUUAAAUAAGUAGUUAGGUAGCCCAAAGUAGCAUGUCUUCAUACGUGCUAUUUUGUCUUGGACUCUUCCGCUGCUUUAGGAUUUUGUACUAGAAAUUUAUGAACCUAGACCGCACUCUGACUUUAUUUUGGCCUUGAUUCACUUUUGCCUAUGAGACUAAUGUCCUUUAUUCGACUUAUCA